rnacentral:tRNA from 1 species
GCCGGUGUGGUGAAAUUGGUAUACACAGGGGAUUCAAAAUCCCCCGCCUUAACGGGCGUGUCGGUUCGAGUCCGACCACCGGCACCA